rnacentral:rRNA from 1 species
CGUGUAGGCGGUCGACCAAGUCUGGUGUGAAAGCCCGGGGCUCAGCUCCGGAAGGGCAUCGGAAACUAGUCGGCUGGAGCGCGAUAGAGGAGGGUAGAAUUCCUGGUGUAGCGGUGAAAUGCGUAGAUAUCAGGAGGAAUACCGGCGGCGAAGGCGGCCCUCUGGAUCGUUGCUGACGCUGAGACGCGAAAGCGUGGGGAGCAAACAGGAUUAGAUACCCUGGUAGUCCACGCUGUAAACGAUGGGUACUAGGUGUUUGGGGUAUUGACCCCCUGAGUGUCGCAGUUAACGCAUUAAGUACCCCGCCUGGGGACUACGGCCGCAAGGUUAAA